CUUGCCUCUAUGUUGUCAAGGUGAACCUGGACUUCCCUCCGCAUCUUGUCUGCCAUGGUGUUGAGAGCGCCAAGGAGCUCAUCUCGUAGCCCUUCCACCAAGCCACGCAAUUCAUCCUUACCAUUGUCCACCAUGGUUUGGAUUUCCUCCUUGUCGACAACAUCCUCAUCAAGUCGAGUAUCGAACUCGAGUAUGGUUCGUUCCACCUUCUCGAGUCGCUCUUCCAUGGUCUCCA
rnacentral:lncRNA from 1 species